UACGAAGGGGGCGAGCGUUGUUCGGAAUUACUGGGCGUAAAGGGCGCGUAGGCGGCCCCUUUUGUCGCGUGUGAAAGCCCCGGGCUCAACCUGGGAGGUGCGCGCGAAACGGGGGGGCUUGAGUUCGGGAGAGGAGCGUGGAAUUCCCAGUGUAGAGGUGAAAUUCGUAGAUAUUGGGAAGAACACCGGUGGCGAAGGCGGCGCUCUGGACCGAGACUGACGCUGAGGCGCGAAAGCGUGGGGAGCAAACGGG
rnacentral:rRNA from 1 species